GGCUUCGUAGCCCAGUUGGUUAGGGCGUCGCACCAGAAUAGCGAGGUCACGGGCUCAAACCCCGUUGAAAUUU
rnacentral:tRNA from 1 species